rnacentral:rRNA from 1 species
UACAGCAAUCAUAGCAAAGGGGAUCACCUGAUACCAUUCCGAACUCAGUAGUUAAGCCCUUUUACGCCGAAAAUACCAGAGAUGGGAAAAUAGGGAGUUGCUGCUU